rnacentral:rRNA from 1 species
AUUGAACGCUGGCGGCAGGCUUAACACAUGCAAGUCGAGCGGAGAGAGGUAGCUUGCUACUGAUCUUAGCGGCGGACGGGUGAGUAAUGCUUAGGAAUCUGCCUAUUAGUGGGGGACAACAUUUCGAAAGGAAUGCUAAUACCGCAUACGUCCUACGGGAGAAAGCAGGGGAUCUUCGGACCUUGCGCUAAUAGAUGGGCCUAAGUCGGAUUAGCUAGUUGGUGGGGUAAAGGCCUACCAAGGCGACGAUCUGUAGCGGGUCUGAGAGGAUGAUCCGCCACACUGGGACUGAGACACGGCCCAGACUCCUACGGGAGGCAGCAGUGGGGAAUAUUGGACAAUGGGCGCAAGCCUGAUCCAGCCAUGCCGCGUGUGUGAAGAAGGCCUUAUGGUUGUAAAGCACUUUAAGCGAGGAGGAGGCUACUUUAGUUAAUACCUAGAGAUAGUGGACGUUACUCGCAGAAUAAGCACCGGCUAACUCUGUGCCAGCCGCCGCUGUAAUAC